rnacentral:rRNA from 1 species
UACGUAGGGUGCAAGCAUUAUCCGGAGUGACUGGGCGUAAAGAGUUGCGUAGGUGGUUAGUAAAGUGAAUAGUGAAAUCUGGCGGCUCAACCGUACAGACUAUUAUUCAAACUCACUAACUCGAGAAUGGUAGAGGUAACUGGAAUUUCUUGUGUAGGGGUGAAAUCCGUAGAUAUAAGAAGGAACACCAAUGGCGUAGGCAGGUUACUGGACCAUUUCUGACACUGAGGCACGAAAGCGUGGGGAGCGAACCGGAUUAGAAACCCCGGUAGU